rnacentral:snRNA from 1 species
GGAUGUGAGGGCGAUCUGGCUGCAACAUCUGUCACCUCAUUGAUCGCCAGGGUCGAUUCGGCUGUUCUGACUGGCUAGGCGGGUGUCCCCUUCCUUCCCUCAACCGCUCAUGGUGCAUCCCCUCCCAAUGCUGACGCACUCUGGUCGAGAGGGACGAACCCAUCCCCGAUAAAGGAGGACUGUUCUUCGGUCAAGGGUAUACGAGUAGCUGCGCUCCCCUGCUAGAACCUCCAAACAAGCUCUCAAACUCAAACGGCAAACCCUGGAGAACUAAGAUUUGAAACACCCAUACAAAUUU